AAUUUGAAAUCUGGCGUCUUUGGCGUCCGAGUUGUAAUUUGAAGAAGGUAUCUUUGGGCCCGGCUCUUGUCUAUGUUCCUUGGAACAGGACGUCACAGAGGGUGAGAAUCCCGUGCGAUGAGAUGACCCGGGUCUGUGUAAAGUUCCUUCGACGAGUCGAGUUGUUUGGGAAUGCAGCUCUAAGUGGGUGGUAAAUUCCAUCUAAAGCUAAAUAUUGGCGAGAGACCGAUAGCGAACAAGUACAGUGAUGGAAAGAUGAAAAGAACUUUGAAAAGAGAGUGAAAAAGUACGUGAAAUUGUUGAAAGGGAAGGGCUUGAGAUCAGACUUGGUAUUUUGCAUGCUGCUCUCUCGGGGGCGGCCGCUGCGGUUUACCGGGCCAGCAUCGGUUUGGAGCGGCAGGAUAAUGGCGGAGGAAUGUGGCACGGCUUCUGCUGUGUGUUAUAGCCUCUGACGAUACUGCCAGCCUAGACCGAGGACUGCGGUUUUUACCUAGGAUGUUGG
rnacentral:rRNA from 1 species